rnacentral:sRNA from 1 species
CUAACUGCCUUGCCACUUCCCUUUAUAGUGAUAUUGCCCAUAGGUCUCCUUCUAUUGGAAUUGCCACUAAAACUGACCUGGGCACUUCAUCUUCAAUUUCCCAUCCUUUUAGGACCCCUGGUGGGAGGUUUCUGGGAGGAGGUGCCCCAUUCUCCAGAUUGGCAUUAGAGGCCCAGGGUGGUCUCCAGCAAGCAUUUAUUCAUGGGCACCUCCUUACCUGCCAGCCCAAAGUGGGCUGGCCCCUCCUGACACUUUAUUUAUUCUCCUUGCAGCCCCUAGCCUGCAGAGCAGUGUUCGGCAGCGCCUGACGGAGCCACAGCAUGGCCUGGGAUCUCAGAGGGAUUUGACCCAUUCCGAUUCGGAGUCCUCCCUCCACAUGAGUGACCGCCAGCGUGUGGCCCCCAAACCUCCUCAGAUGAGCCGUGCUGCAGACGAGGCUCUCAAUGCCAUGACUUCCAAUGGCAGCCACCGGCUGAUCGAGGGGGUCCACCCAGGGUCUCUGGUGGAGAAACUGCCUGACAGCCCUGCCCUGGCCAAGAAGGCAUUACUGGCGCUGAACCAUGGGCUGGACAAGGCCCACAGCCUGAUGGAGCUGAGCCCCUCAGCCCCACCUGGUGGCUCUCCACAUUUGGAUUCUUCCCGUUCUCACAGCCCCAGCUCCCCAGACCCAGACACGCCAUCUCCAGUUGGGGACAGCCGAGCCCUGCAAGCCAGCCGAAACACACGCAUUCCCCACCUGGCUGGCAAGAAGGCUGUGGCUGAGGAGGAUAAUGGCUCUAUUGGCGAGGAAACAGACUCCAGCCCAGGCCGGAAGAAGUUUCCCCUCAAAAUCUUUAAGAAGCCUCUUAAGAAGUAGGCAGGAUGGGGUGGCGGUAAAGGGACAGCUUGUCCUUCCCUGGGUGUUCUGUCUCUCCUUCCCUCCCUUCCUUCAAGAUAACUGGCCCCAAGAGUGGGGCAUGGGAAGGGCUGGUCCAGGGGUCUGGGCACUGUACAUACCUGCCCCCUCAUCCUUGGGUCCUUCAUU